AAACCAUGGUGUGGACAGUUCCUUAGUAAAUCCUUGAAUGUUCCCAAUAAUCGUAUAAAGUCUCAUUCUUUAGCUAAAGAAACCCUGCUAUUUCAUUCCUCAACUU
rfam:Ricinus communis cultivar Hale ctg_1100012352171, whole genome shotgun sequence.